GCGGUGGUAGCUCAGUCGGGUGAGUGCCCGCUUCUCACGCCAGAGAUGCGGGUUCGAAACCCGGCGCUCUGACA
rnacentral:tRNA from 1 species